rnacentral:rRNA from 1 species
AUCUUGUACUCUCUAAUCAGGAUCCUGAGUACGGCCCAGCACGUGAAAUUGGGUCGGAAUCUGGGAGGACCAUCUCCCAAGGCUAAAUACUAACUAGUGACCGAUAGCGAACAAGUACCGUGAGGGAAAGGUGAAAAGAACCCCGGAAGGGGAGUGAAAUAGUUCUUGAAACCGUGUGCUUACAAGAAGUUCGAGGCCGUUAAUGGCUGAGAGCGUGCUUUUUGUAGAAUGAACCGGAGAGUUACGAUUGCGUGCAAGGUUAAGGUGCAAAGACUGGAGCCGUAGCGAAAGCGAGUCUUAAUAGGGCGAAUCAGUACGUAGUUGUAGACCCGAAACCGAGUGACCUAUCCAUGGUCAGGUUGAAGGUGGGGUAAUACCUACUGGAG